rnacentral:rRNA from 1 species
UACGUAGGGGGCUAGCGUUGUCCGGAAUCAUUGGGCGUAAAGCGCGUGUAGGCGGCCCGAUAAGUCCGCUGUGAAAGUCCAGGGCUCAACCCUGGGAUGCCGGUGGAUACUGUCGGGCUCGAGUCCGGAAGAGGCGAGUGGAAUUCCUGGUGUAGCGGUGAAAUGCGUAGAUAUCGGAAGGAACAUCAGUGGCGAAAGCGGCUUCCUGGACCAGCACCGACGUUCAGGCACGAAAGCGUGGGGAGCAAACAGG